rnacentral:rRNA from 1 species
CAACGCCGCGUGGAGGAUGAAGUCCCUUGGGACGUAAACUCCUUUCGAACGGGACGAUAAUGACGGUACCGUAAGAAGAAGCCCCGGCUAACUUCGUGC